rnacentral:lncRNA from 1 species
UUAAAUACAAAUACAUGCCUACCAUGAGAGCUUGGUAGAGACUAGAAAGAGAGUCUCCCCUCUCCUCCCAUAUCUUUGAACUUUCUGCACACCCUUUUUAUUCUUCAAUCUUUUUUAGGGCUAUAUAUAUAUAAUAUAAUCUAUUUUACUAUGGGUAUGUAAUGACAGUAUAAAAGAAGAAUCUUUACCAUAUCUGCAGGCUAAUUGAAGAAAUAAAUUAUUAGAAUAAAAAAACAAACAGGAAACCCUUCUUCUUCUUAGUACUAUUAUUAUGGACUCAGAUUCUUGGGCUCGUCUUUCUACUUCAUCCAGGCGAUAUCAAUUUCGAUCGGGUUAGUUUCGAUAUAAUUUUUGGAAAGAAUGAUUGGAAGUUUAUGAUUUCUUAGGAAUUUAGGGUUUUGGUGUUGGAUGUAGUGAAAUCGGUUUCGGAAUGAAUUGGGUUUUAAAAAAUCUAUUGUUUUGAUUGGAACCAAAUGGAAAUUUAGAGUUUUGCUUUGUGUAUUUGCAGAUCCUUUUAAUGGAGGGGAGGAAAUGGAACGCGAUGAAGAGUCGAGGCCGGAGUUUCUGUGUCCGUUUUGCGCAGAGGAUUUUGAUAUGGUGGGACUUUGUUGUCAUAUUGAUGAGGAGCAUAUGGUGGAAGCCAAGAAUGGGGUAUUUUUUUAUAUUUCAUUUCUGGGUGUAAUUUGGACCUAAUUUUUUUGGUUUAUGGUUUUUUAAGUAGGUAUGUUUAUUCAGUUCUAAGUUGCAGCAUGUGAGCUUUCUUUUGAUCCUAAAUGUGGUAAAAUUUAACUUUAUGUGAUUUAGGCUCUGGUAGAGUCUAAAGAGAGGGGUAGAGAGUGGGAGGCUUGGUUUAAAGUUGAAACUAAUAUCAGUUCUAUUUAUUUGGCUUUUCAAGAAGCAAACUUUUAUCUGCUAUUGCCUAUUAGUAUAUUACAUAAACAGCAGAGUGUGUAUUGUCAUUUUAAUUUAAAUUGUACCAUGUUAUAUUUGUUUGCGAACUUCCUUGCCAUCUCAUUCAAGAUACGAACAAAUGUUGGAAACCUACUUCAAACUUUCAAAGAUUAAAAACUGGGAAAACAGUUCUUUUGCGGUGAUAUGAUUAAGAAAAUGUAGUUAUAGUUGCUUGCAUACACUUUAUAAUGCAAAUCUAUUGCUGCGUUGUGUGUACAAGUAUAAACAUCUAUCUUCAACCAUUACUCAUGUCUUAGUUUAAAGACAUUUUUAGAGCUUUGAGAACAUAUGGGGAACCUUGUCGUAUUUUCUAUGAGGGGCUAGGUUCAGAUCUCAAAUAUGCUGCCUUCUGAUUCAAAUUUGUGACCUCAUGGUUUAUGCCCUGUUCUUUUACGGCUGCACUACACAAUGAGAAUAAUCUUGUGUUACAAAGAAGGAUAUGAAAGAGCAAAUUUAGAAGUUUGGUGUUGAAUUUUGGUACUCUCCGUUUCUUAGGAUAAGUCGUUUUAGAGAAAUGUUUAUCUUAAUACAAGUCGUUUGAAAAUUUCAAGUAAGCAUUAAUUGUUUAGUUUUCAAUAUUACCCCAAGUAUUAAAUAUAACUUUGGUUCAUUAUUCUUUGUCCAAUACAUAACACUCUCUUUUUCAAGUACAAGGGCAAUAUAGGCAAUUGAUAUUAAAUUUAAUAUUUUACAAUCAUUUCUUUAAUAUUUGUGUUCAAUUCUAAAACGACUUGUAUUAAGGAAAGGAGGGAGUACUAGCUUGUACUUGUCCAGAAAGGGAGGAGAAGUGAUGGUGUCACAUUUGUUUUGUUGGUUGCAUGUGCAUGUGUUUGCUGCAAGAGAUACACAGAGGGAGAGAGAUAAGAGGAAGGGAAUUGUACGCGUCACUUUUUUUUUUGUGGUGAAUGAAUUGGUAUAUUAAGGUGAUGUGUCAUGGAGUGAGGGAGCUUAUUAUAUAUUGAAGACUAAUUAGGUUUUUUGAAUUGUUUUAUUAGAGGAACGUAGUCUAUGAAUAAUCAAACAGUGAAAAAAAGAUGCCGCUAAGCUAUAUGAAUGCGCUAAAAGAGCUAUGUUUUGACACUCAUUUUCUAGGUAUCAACAUUCUACUAUGACAGCGGCUCUCCUGAGUCCUGAACACAAAAAGAUCUUCUCAAAGGUCUUAUUUGGAGUUCUUAAUAAUUGCUUUUAAGCAGUUGCUUUAGGGACAAAUUCUAUUAGACUAAAAUAUUAAGCAUCUGGUUUUAAUUGACUCGGCAUCUGUGAAGAAUUAUGAAUGAUUUCUAUUUGCAUGAGUUGUUCUUUAGCACUAAUGGUAUAUCAAUUUUUUUUAUAAUGCAGGUGUGUCCAGUUUGUGCAAAAAAGGUGGGAAUAGAUUUGGUUGGCCACAUCACUAUGCAAUAUGGGAAUCUGUUAAAAAUAUCCUUUUCCUAAUGUUUUUUGUUUCAAUAUUCAAGUGUUGAGGUGUAAUUUGACCCAUAAUGCUGCAUUAACUUUAAUAUCUUGUCUCUGUAUGCCAAAUUAGAUAAAUUAGCAUAUUUUUGGACUUACUUCCAUAGGUCAGUACAUGAACAAAGCUCUUAUAUUUUGUAUUUUUGUUGUGACUUCUGAUCACAGAACUUGUCCAGUUAUUUUUUAUUUUUUUGAUUGGAAUUUGUCUAUCUAAAUCAUAGCAAGACUUCUAUAGGCUUCUGUAAGUAUGCUAGUUUCUUCUUUCAAGGGAAUAAUUUGAGUGUCUUUUUAUCCAUUCCGACUAGUUGCAUUCAGGAAUUUUCUUUUGGCAUACAACUUUCAAACCACUUGCGUUUGGUACAUUCCAGCUGGUUACUGAAAGCUCUAUGUUUGACAUACUUGCAGAAAAUAACUAAAAGGAGGACAACAUGUGCUCUAUGUCUUUGUUAGCUGAGAUCCUUCAUUGCUACAAUGUGUUCCCCUUUUUUUGUACGUCUUCUGGUUUAUUGUUCUUAACAUAUUAUUGAAGAAUUUUUGGCUUCCUAGUUUUGUAAAACAAAUUUCUUUCCAAACAACUUGUAACAUAUAUAUAUUCAGCUUUUCAAAUUUCCACAAAGAUUUAUACUUUUCCUUGACUAAACCUAACGUGCAGCGCAAGAGGCGAUUUCGUAAGAGUGGAUCUAAUUCAACACUUUCUAUUUUGAGAAAAGAGUUGUGGGAUGGAAAUCUGCAAUCCCUUCUUGGCGGAUCUUCAUGCUUGGUUUCUUCCACUAACACAGAAGCUGAUCCAUUGUUGACUUCAUUUAUAUACAAUGCACCUGUAAAUGAUGAACCAACUAGUCUUCUACCUCAUUCUUCAGAGGAAGCUUGCUCUGUUGAGGAUAACUUGGUUGAAGACUCCUCAGAAAGGUACAAGCAACAAACAAAUUAAUUGUUUUCUGCUCACAUUUUUGUACUAGAAUCAUUAUUGAAACCUUUUUUCAGAUUUGUUGAUCUGAUGCCUGUUCAUGAUAACAGAAAUAUUCAACAGCCUCUGCUCUUCGACAAGGACCAAGAAGAGAAGGCACGGAAAUGUGAAUUUGUCCAAGGGCUGCUGUUGUCAACUUUUCUUGAUGAUAACUUAUAAAUUAUGUCCAAGAGUUGGAUUGUAGUUUCAAGAAAGGGGGAAGGUACGCUGGUGUGUUAUCAAUGGAGUAUCUAGGGGAUAGGAACUCUGUACUCGAAUGUUGUAUUUAAAGCCUAUAUGUGCAUAAUGAAAAGUAGUACGAACUUAUCUUAAUUUGUUUCUUUUUUUCCUUUCCUCUGAAGUUAACAUUUGGCUUGUUUCUUUAUGAAUGCUUGCAAUGCAUUAUUAUUGAACCAUCGGUAUCUGAGGAGCCUUUUACAAGUUGUAGGGCAGGUUGGAUUGUGGUCUUAUAUUUAAUCAUUUAACAGUUGUGCAAAUGAGGCAUAGUGGCAAUGGUAGUACGGAAGGAUGACUGCACAUUUCUUGCAAGGAAAUUGUUAAAUUCACAAUAAAAAUUGUUAUUUUCACAAUAAAAGUGUCGUUAUAGAUUUUAUAAUGACAGUUUUCAUCGUCGUUAUACAUCUACAACGACAUUUUUGUUGUAGAAAUAACAAAAAGGUGUUGUGUAUUUAACAAUUUCCUUCUUGCAACUCUGUUUACGAUGAUCCAAGAAACAAAACAUAGGAGCUCCAAUGAGAACGAACAUAGAAGCUAAAAAACACAGCACACCACGAGGCAAAAGAUUGAAGUUGCUUUACUCCUUAACUUUCCAGUUUGUAAAUGAACUACACGGAUGAAAUGUAAUCAAAUUCGGGCGCAAAUUUUAUUGUUGUAAUAGACUGAACAUUCAACAGAACCCAAUAAAACAGAUGAUCAGCACUAAAAUGAAAGCAUUCUAUUGACCAAAGUAAAAUAUUCUAUCAAUUGCUAAUAGAAGCAUUAACCAGAUAACAAUAUUGCUAAUACAUUAGACCAAACUAAAGCAGGCAUAUACAUAUAAUAUACGUGUACAUGUUUUCGUCAACAUUGGACUAGGGCUUCACGAGAAGACUACUACUUGCGUAGAAAAUCAUCUCAUAGCAUCAAUGGGAAUACUGGUAGGUAUGCAUUCACAUUACAACUCUUUCUUGAUUACCAUGACAUUACUUUCAGCUUCUUUUCCAAUUCAUCUUUCAGAAGACUCUUGAAUAGAGCUUCUGCAGAAACUAAUUUAGGGAGAGGUAAUAAUACCGCAGGCCUAAAUCAUAUACAAGGAUGGAAAAUGCUUGAGUUAAGGAUGCACCCAGGAAAUCAAUAUGAGGAUAUCUUUGAUUCAACACAUGGGACACUUUACUUCUUCGCACUUCUCAAAAAGUUGCCUAAAAGACUCUUCACCUCCAAAAUGAGUUGUGGGACAGGAAGAACCUGUAAUCAGGAUGAUCAACUUGCAAGAGACGCAACCAAUUAUCAGCUGCUCGUAAUAGAGAGUUGACCUUUUGACAUUCAUAUACCCCAGUGGGAUUCCAAUCAGAGACUUUAAACUUGUAUGGAGCAAGCCCAAAGAUCGGCAGUGACAACUUCAAGGAUAUGCCAGCAUUAUGAACCUCUCCAACUGUUGAACCAAGUAGGCGAGGCCAAUCAGUACCUGUAUUUGUGGGAAUGUGGAACUAUAUCAUCAUGACAUAUAGGCAAUCAAAAAUAUACCUCCUAAAUCAGCACGUGCUCGAUAUAUUGUGUGUAAACAGCACAUUCUAUAUAAAUAUAUAUAUAUAUAGAGAGAGAGAGAUGACAUACUCCCGAAUGGCGUAGACAACGAAUGAAAUGUCAAAAAGCAGGCAUCAAUAUUGUUCAGAGUUGUACCCACAGGUAUCCUAUAUAUUGGGUACCUUCAGANNNNNNNNNNNNNNNNNNNNNNNNNNNNNNNNNNNNNNNNNNNNNNNNNNNNNNNNNNNNNNNNNNNNNNNNNNNNNNNNNNNNNNNNNNNNNNNNNNNNCAAUUUAGGCCAGUUAUAAAUAAGAAUAACCUCUAAAUUGUAAUAUGUUAUAUACUUUCCCGUAUUAAGAAAUUAUAUCUCUAUAUAGUAAUAAUUUCAUAUAUAUAUAUGAGAGAGAAAAUAUUAAUUCUAAAAGACUACAUUUUCUAUAAAAGAAUACAUUUCUUAUAAAAAAACUACAUUUUCCAAUAAAAGACUACAUUUCCCAUAAAAGAUUACAUUUUCCUAUAAAAGACUACAUUUCCUAUAAAAGACCACAUUUUCGUAUAAAAGACUACAUUUCUUAUAAAAGACUACAUUUUCCUAGUUUGAAAAUCUAAAUAAUUUAUGUUUUCUUUAAUUUUUGUUAUAAAAUCUAUAUUUUUGUUAAAGUGGAUAUUUUUUGGUGUUCGAAAAAUAUUUUGUACCAAUACCUCUAUUUAGUAAUAACCUCUCAAUUAAAAUACAAAUAGUUUGGUCCCAAGUCUAUUCCUAAAUAGAGGUUUUAUUGUAUAUAAAGUGAGAGAGAGAGAGAGAUGACGUACUCCCGAAUGGUGUAGACAACGAAUGAAAUGUCAAAAAGCAGGCAUCAAUAUUGUUCAGAGUUGUACCCACAGGUAUCCUAUAUAUUGGGUACCUUCAGAAGUGCAUGUAAUGGCCUUUCAGUUCAGAAAAUACAGUUGUACAAAUGCAUCAGACUUGUAGACGUGAAUAAAAACGCUUACCAUGCCACGGAAACCCAACUUGAAGCUGUUAAAUCACAGCUUCUGUAUGUCCUAAGUUCUGGAAAUUGAAAUGCAAGCUUUGAGAUCUGUGGAAAUAAGGAGGUAAAGAUAUGUCAUAACAACGACAAAUCAGUACAAGAUCCACAUGUUAAUCCCCUAGGGAGUUUAGAACAUGCCUUGUCAGCCAAAGGUUCACGACCAAAUGGAAGAUCAUGCGCAAAGUACUCGAAUAUAAGUAGGCCAGGAGGAUUGCUAAUCUCCCUUUCAUCAAUUGCUGACCCGAUUGAGAGAUUGUUUCUCAAUGAGGGUCUACUUUGGCUAGCAGCAUUCUUUGGAUUUUGCAAGUUCCAAACUCCCUGAUAAUCAUUGGCGACUCUCUCGUCCCCACAUCUGCUACACCCAUCGCUACUUGCAUCUUUAGAUGACUCCUCAUCACUGUCAUCACCAGGCUUCCUGUCAGAUAAUAUUAGCUGAUAAUUAGUGGAUCAAGUUUUUAUUUUUUAUUUUUGAUAAGUCAAAUUUUGAAAUUUGCUUAAGGAGAAAGAGCAGGGGGUGUCUUGGUGAAUCUUGGGGACCUAAUAAUCAGAGAUGCUAGAGGAUAUUAAUUAUCUUCAAGCAUCAAUCUAUGGCUUGAGAAACCAUAAUAAGAAAAGCGGGACUACCUGACCCACCACUCAGAAAUAUUUCGUACAGUCCUAUAAAGAAGCCUGAUGGCCCAAGGCAAAAUGAGAUGUGCCAAAUCAUUCAGCAUAAUUAGGGAACAAGUUUCCACAACACCAAAGCUUGGCUCCACUCAAAAGUUGAAUAAAAACUAAUAUUGAACUGUCAGAAAUGAAAGCAUAAAUGUACUACAUUCCUACGGCUGGAAUUAAAAGAAAAUUAUAAUAUACGAGCAAGUCCUUCCUUCACUCUUUUGAAACUGAUGGUUUAGUUAGUUAUUGUAUCAAGUCUUAUUUACUCCAUACAUAUGGCUACAAGUUUUAAUAGAAAAAAUAUGUGGUGAUACAACCACAUGCAAAGUACUUUGACAAAUUAAUUUGUUAACGCAAACAAGAUGUUGAUACCAUCUGAAGCGAGAAAAUAAAAUUCCGUGUAAUGCAAUUUAUGACAACUUAAAAAUUGUCCUCUUCUGUCAGACCCUCAUGCACAUGAAUUGUACAGGACCCUAUAUAUUGACAUUCUGCAGAGGUGAUUGGAGUGUAGAUGGUCCAUUCUGAGAAGCAACAAGGCAAUUUCUUGAAACAAACAGUGAAUCACCUGAAGUAUAAAUAUCACAUAGUGAACUUCCGAUCAAUAAUAAUGAUUCUAGUAAGAGCACCUGCAUUAAACAUGUGCUGGGGUCUGUGUCACCAUACCACCAAAUGAUUUGCUACAAGGAAUCUAGUGUAUAGCACAAUACAAAGGAAGAAGCAUAGACCAGAAUUGUAGGAGCUCAUUUGUUAAAGGCCAUAUUCUCAUACAGAUUCCGGCGGUGGUCAUACUGGCCUUCAGCAUGUUAGAUAUGGUCAUUUAUUCCAAACACUUAUGGUCAUACAAAUUUCAACCGUAAGGCCUAGUUCAAGAAGAUGUAUUUUUAAGGGCUUCACCGACUUCUCUACAUCGCUACAGUUAUCUCGUCCUAUAGUGUUGCACUCAAACAAAAAUGUUUCAGAAUCUCACCGUCUUUUUAAAAAAUUCUGCAAAAGGCCUACAAGUAUCACCCAAUAAGCAAGAACUUUAAAGCUCAUACAUGAAGCCUAAGACUCCGAUGAUACAAACACUAGCUUAAAACUAUAAUAACAGGUCAUAUUUAGUCAUUGAUCAGUUUAUGAUGCCAUAAAACAAGAUUAAUAUCACAUAAUGGCUAACUAUAAUCCUAAGUAAUAUAAGAAACACACAAAUCAAAUCACCCUACAACACUUGAACCAAAAAUUUUAUUGAGUUCGUUAAUAUAGGAAAAUUAAACUUCCACAAGGGAAUUGGAUAUUUCCAUAAUAUCCCCCACAUGAAUAAUAAAUGAGUACAUUCAUGAGAGAGAAGGCCUUGCAAAAAUAUUAAAUUUCCUUAUAAUCCUUACGAAUAGAUUGAUAGCUCAAGAAUUACCAAAAGGAACAUUUUGCCAUCAGAAGAAAUGAGGGAGGGAGGGAAACAGUCCCCAAACAUGUAAAGAGCUCACCUUAUUCUCAUUAAGGGCCUUGAUGGGUCUAUAUAUAGCUGAAUUGCAGACAAGUAUGGCACAUAAUAUUGGACAACAGAGUCACCCCCACUCAACACAAGAGGAACUCCAGCUCCAUAUGCACUCCAUUCCUUCAAAGAUUCCCAAAGAUCAUCUAGGAUAAAGUACGGAUGGAAGCUGUCGUCAUGAAUUCUCAAUCCCUUCAUGCUUGUCUAAAAUCUCCAAAUAGAAGCAAAAUAAAAUCAUAUAUCAAAAUUUGAAAGAUCAUUCAAAACAUAGAAAGCAUACUUGUCACUUUUCUGAAAGCUAGAAUGCAUGGCAUAGAGAACCAAGAACUUUUUGAAACAAAAGGGAAAACAUUUUUUUGGCUAAUCAUAACACAAAUACUCAGCUUUAACAACAGGAUUGAUGACAUAAUUUAGAGAAACGUAACAUUUUCCUUCGAUUCACUACAUGAUUAACUCUGAUUCCCAUUAGAUUCCAUGCUAACACAUAACUAUUGUUGCCAGAAAAAAGGGGCACACAAGAAAAUAUAAUAAUACAAGAUAAAAAGCAGACAACUUGGAAGGAAAAUCCACAAUCUUUGAUACAUUGGCACCAUUGCAGACAAAAUGCAGGUAUUUAAGAUUCCUGUUUAAGAAUAUUCCUAACAAUGAAAAAAAUGUUUAUUCGCCCAGCCUAACAGAAACCACCUCCUUCCCCAUUGAGAAACCUAAACAGAAUAAAGCAAAAUACUCAAAGUUCAUUUUUUACUCCAUUCCCCAACUUUUCCAGCAACCAAAAGAUCAAAAGGAGAUUUAACAAUACACAUACAGACAGAUAAAUAUUUUCCCUAUACCAUCAAUUUUAGUUUCUAACAGUCUAUAAUUAAUCACAUGAUCAAAACAAUAAUUUCUUCUAUGAACAGAAUCUUGCUCAGCAUCGAAAUGAAAAGCAACACUAAAUCUUUGAUUGGUAUAAUAACAAUAAUACCUUAGGAAAAUACUGAGCUUGGACGACUGGAGUGGUGUGCUCCAUGAACCGAUCCAAAUUAGUCAAAUUGCUCAUUUUUGGCGUACAAAAAGAGGAAUUGUUAUUCAUCACUGUGGUCGUAGUUGUCUCGUCUGAUGAACAAAUUCUCUUUUCCGGCAGCUUUUGGGAUUGCUUCCGUUGUUGCAGCUGUUGUCUUCUCAUCGCAGGUGGACAGUAAAACCUGUCAUCGCCGCCCCGAUUCCGAUUCGCCACCGGAGUAGACAUUGGACAGAAUUCAAAAGAGUUAUGACUUUGAAUUGAAAAUUGGGGUUUUGCUUUUUAGGGUUUUUGAGGAGAGGGAAAGUAAAGCCGGAUUUCACCUCUGUUGUUCUGUAUAUUGUAUCUGUGGCAGAAAUUGUAGUGUAGUAGUAGUACUUAUUACUUCUCUUUCAUAAUUAAAAGUAAGUACGUUUUUAUUCUUUUUAAUCCUUUGAAAAAAAGAUACAUUUUGACUAAAAAAUGCCAACUUAUUUGUCAUUAUAAAUUAUAUGAGAUAAUAAAUUUGAAAGAUUAAAUAAAAAAAAAUUAAAAAUAUAUAAAAUGAAUAAAAUAAUACUAGUAAUAUAACUAAAGGGGCAAAAAAGGGAAAAAAAAAAUAGUGUGAGGUAGUUACAUUAAUGAUGCCAACAGCUCAUGAUCACAUUUUACUAUUAAAUUUUUAAUUAAUAUUAAGGAUAUUUCACGUAAUUAUUUUUAAAAUUUUAUAUUUAAUUUUGAAACAGAUUAAUAAUUAGAUAUGAUUUAAUUAAGAGUUUAAGACUGAUUGUCGAUAAAUCUAAAAGAACAAGAAAAUGUUUAAUUUUUGAAGCAGCCCAAAAAUAAGCUAGAAUAUUAUAAAGCAUGAACACACAUACAAUACUAUAAGAAAUUAAUUUUUAUAAUUAAUUAUAUGUAUACAUACAUAUAAUUAUGUACAAAAUAAAGAGAAUUCAUUGUAUUUCUAGUUUUCUACUAAACAAGUAAUUUCACCCAUGAUUAAAAAAUUGCCCAAUCCACUCGCACCCACAUCCAUUCAUUAAUAUAAAAAUUAUAUAAUUGACAUUUAAAAUAAUUCCAUUUUAUUUUAGUCACAAAUAUCACAAACUAUUUAAAAAUAUAUACUACCAAACGAAUUUUUUUUUUUUUGAAGUUUACUAAACGAAACUUGUUUUUAAAAUUAAAUAUUUACAUAAACUUGAUUUUAUAAAAUUUCACGAAUUAACUAAUUAAAGUUCAAAUAGAUCUCCUUCCAUAUAUUACUAUUAGUAGGUACCGAGAGAGUAAUGAACUUAAUAAUUUAUU